UACGUAGGGUGCAAGCGUUAAUCGGAAUUACUGGGCGUAAAGCGUGCGCAGGCGGUUUUGUAAGUCUGUCGUGAAAUCCCCGGGCUCAACCUGGGAAUUGCGAUGGAGACUGCAAGGCUAGAAUCUGGCAGAGGGGGGGUAGAAUUCCACGUGUAGCAGUGAAAUGCGUAGAGAUGUGGAGGAACACCGAUGGCGAAGGCAGCCUUCUGGGCCAACACUGACGCUCAUGCACGAAAGCGUGGGGAGCAAACAGG
rnacentral:rRNA from 1 species